UUCGGGGAACGUUAACGGUUCCAAGAGGCGGACGGGUGAGUAAUGCCUGGGAAAUUGCCCUGAUGUGGGGGAUAACCAUUGGAAACGAUGGCUAAUACCGCAUAAUAGCUUCGGCUCAAAGAGGGGGACCUUCGGGCCUCUCGCGUCAGGAUAUGCCCAGGUGGGAUUAGCUAGUUGGUGAGGUAAUGGCUCACCAAGGCAACAAUCCCUAGCUGGUCUGAAAGGAUGAUCAGCCACACUGGAACUGAAACACGGUCCAAACUCCUACGGGAGGCACCAGUGGGGAAUAUUGCACAAUGGGCGCAAGCCUGAUGCACCCAUGCCGCGUGUAUGAAAAAGGCCUUCGGGUUGUAAAGUACUUUCAGCAUUGAGGAAGGCAGGUACGUUAAUAGCGUGCUUGUUUGACGUUAGCUGCAAAAAAAGCACCGGCUAACUCCGG
rnacentral:rRNA from 1 species